rnacentral:lncRNA from 1 species
UGCAAGGCAGAUGGAAAUUGAAAAGCAGACAAGAAAUCUAGAUAAUGUGCUCAAAGCCGGUUUACACAUAUUGACCAUAAAUGAAAUGUCAUAUGUGAUUAAUCAAAACGCAGCGAAAUCCUAUUGUUAUCUCGAUAAAAUAAUCAUGGAUAAACAACAUGAGAGUAGUUGAAUCCAUAGAUUAAAAAAAAUCGAUGUCUAAUUCAUGAAAGUAAAUCAGGGACAAACAUAAAAAUCAACAAGCGUCGGAAGAAAUGAGAAUAAAAUAAAAAGAGAUUAAAAAUGAAUAAAAAGAUAAUAACAUAUAAAAAAAUGAAAUAGUAAAACUAAAUAAUGAACUGAUUAGAAAACAUAAUAAGAAACA